UGAAUGUAUUGUAUGUGUAUGAGGCAUACAAAGUGCCAAAUCCCAUUUUUACCUGUGAGUAUCAUAGAACCCCUUGUGGCAAGGCCAGAACUGGGUCAAGAACCAGAAUGUUGAGGUUAGAUAAGAAAGAAAUCCUGACUUCAUGCUGAUGUGUUUGGAUUUUGUCCAGUAAUGAGUCAACAGGGAGUGUUAUGAUAAACUUAAUUUAAUACAGCAACCUUGGUGACAAGAUAGGUGAUAAAUUAGAAGGGAUUAAGGCAGAGUAGAGUCAGAAAAAUAGUACAGCCUUUUAGGUAAUGGAUUCUGAGGGGCAGAGGUAGGAAAACUUCUCUGGGAUAGAGAGGAAGAGGGGAUUACAGAGACAUGUUGAGGAAGAAUUGAUUUACUAUGGUCAUUCUUUGAGAGUGAGAUCUGGGUAGCCCACAUAGGGAAAAGAGCACUUCAAAUGGGAAAAGAGUCAUUAAGGAUUUCAAAUGUUGAGCAGAGAUUUGAGGAUGAACACCAAGAAGAGGAAGAAUUUGUAAUGAAAGAAACAAAUAAGUACACAAAUCAUUGUUGGACAAUGAACUUCAGAUGGAAUCUCCGAUAAGGCUGUUAUUAGUUCCUACAGUCACAGACUUGAAGAAAGUUUGCAUUUUAUUCUUAAGGAAAUUGAAAUUUUAAAGAUGACAUGUAUAAUGGAAAUUUUACCAGAUAAACAAUGAAAAAACUAGCACAAUUUCUUCUCUUUAAAUUUUGAGAAAAUCUAAAUGAACGUGGAAGAACAUUCAAAAGGAAAAAACAUAAUUGGGUUGGCUAUCCCAUUAAGGAUUUCAUUAAGAUCAAACGGUCCCUUGUCAUCCAUCUUCACCUGGGGAGGUGAUCGUGUGCCCCCUAGCCUGCUCAUCCAUCCUCCUUAUAGAGAACAGGUUACCCCUGAACCCCCAGCAGGAGGGUGGGGGCUCCGGAACCCUCCCAUUCUGUUGAGUGGACACAUGGAUCACUACACUUUUGGGGCAGUACCAUUUGCACACAGGUUUAGCUCGUUUUUGUUUGCCGACAAACAACCCAUUCCUCAAAGUCAACUCACUUCAUAGACUGCUCACAGCUAUUCAUAUAAAAGCUUUUGCCAGACAGAGAUGUCUGUGUUUCCUCUCUGAUAGCCCAGCCUUCUGACUCCUCUUCAGGAGGGAGGGCAGCUCCAGAUAAAAGCACAAAGAUAAGGCAUUCCAGAGCAUUCCCUCCCCUUGUGGGAAAUGUUUAUUUUCAGGUAGUGACAAAUUUGACGAUAUAUAUUCAUAAACGCAAUGUUGGCAUCUUUCAUCAAAAAGACCUUUAGUUUUAAACCCAGAACAUAGGGAUUAGCUGAUAGCCCCUUUGUAUCCCCAUUUAUAUUACUUCUGCAGCCUUUUAUUUAAUCGGGUGAGCGGUUACUGUUCCCAGGGCUCCCUUACCACCCACACAUACUUGCUGACACACCACACUGACAGGGAAACACUCUUGAAGAGCUGAGGGCGGGAGUGAACUCCGCAUGCCCUCACCACUGUGUGGACUCAAGUAAAGAUGCAUCAUCGCAAGCAAACGCACCCGUCAGGUGCUGGGAGUGAAACAGAGCAAUGCUCAGCUAAACUUGUGCACCCCAACUGCCUCUUGCCCUCAUGGGCACAAAGAAGAGACUCUGCUUGUGGAUAAACAGCUGCGUUCCAGGAGUUGAUUUUAUAACACAUUGCCCUGAACGUGACCUUCUUCCUAGGGAGGGAAUGUCGACGAUGUGGUUGGCUACUGAGGCUACUUCACACAAAUUCAUAAAAGCAGAUCUAAGGCACGAUGAACGCAAGUGUGGGUGCCAGUCUGGAGAGUAAUGAGCUCCUCGCCCUGAUCAAUAGUGUUUCUGUGGGAAGUUCCCUGAAGCUUUCUAAGCAGUGAGGUCCCAAGCACAUGCAAUCCCACAAGGAGACACAGGCAGCUCCCUCCUCUCUUCUGUUCCACUCUGAGGAGGGGAAAAGGCCCCAGCAGCAGGAUGGACAGGACAGUUAUUGUGGAAUGAGUCAGCAACUCCAGGAGGAAGAGCAUCUCCACCAAAGCUGAAGAUCAGAACUGGUCUUUCCAGAAGGUUACUGAAAAGUCACAGGACCUUUUUUGAAAUAAAAUUUGUUGGU